UCCAGGGCGUUAUAAAUUUGUACAUAUAGAAUUAGGGAGGAAUCUUUUGCAAUUAUUUUCUCUUUUCAGACCAACAGAACAGCCUAUGCCAUACUUGAGAGGAAACUGAGCCUAUGUCAAGAGGAUAAACAUGAGGCAGUUUCUGAUCAACAACUGCCUUCUGCUAUUAUACCUGACCAUCUUGAUUUGUUGCUACCCCUACAUGGAAUCUGCUGUCCAUUCGCCACCGCCAAGCUUUGACACAGGUUUCAAAGAGAGAGUGGCCCGAAAGCCACUCCUGAGACAGAUCCUGUCUCUCAAGACUGGAAGUUGGAGAAGCUCCCAGAUGUCCUCCUUCCUGACUGACCUCUGGACCAACGUCAUGGACUUCUUUCCACGGUCGGCUAUUUAUGCUUUUCUGGUUUCCUCUGCGAUUAUAUCCUUUCUCUUCUGCCUCACGAUUCUUGUGGAAGAUAGAAGCUCCUGAGAAUAUCCCAGAAAAUUUCUCAAAGUUCACUGCAGAGUCCAAAUUUGUCUUCCUGGGUCCUCAAACAAAGAAAACAGUUGUAAGGCUAUAAUGUCUUUCAAUUCUCUGCAUUAAAUUCAAUAUUUGAAAAUAAAUUUGUUG
rnacentral:lncRNA from 1 species